CUGCUAUGGAGGCACGUAUACUAAAAUUGGAACCAUACAGAAAAGAUUAGCAUGGCUCCUGUGCAAGGAUGACAUAUGAAUAAAGGCGGCAUGGUAGCUCAGU